rnacentral:sRNA from 1 species
CGUCACACCGUGAAACUCUAAGGACCUCCUGGCAACGGGAGAAGACAUUAUGUUCUUGGUUUUGAGUGUUGAUUGACAAUCAAUAACGAGAAUGGACGACAAGGAGCCCUUGUCAGCUCUCUCUGGUGAAGAUACCUUGUACCAAACCGCCAUUGAGGAAUGUUGUAGUUUGU